CAUUGUUCGCCUGCAAGGGUUUUAUGCGGUACCAUCCGCGUAGAUCAUAGAACGAUCUUAACAUAAGGAGAAAAUAAAAUG
rnacentral:ncRNA from 1 species